rnacentral:rRNA from 1 species
CCUACGGGAGGCAGCAGUGGGGAAUCUUGCGCAAUGGGCGAAAGCCUGACGCAGCCAUGCCGCGUGAAUGAUGAAGGUCUUAGGAUUGUAAAAUUCUUUCACCGGGGACGAUAAUGACGGUACCCGGAGAAGAAGCCCCGGCUAACUUCGUGCCAGCAGCCGCGGUAAUACGAAGGGGGCUAGCGUUGCUCGGAAUUACUGGGCGUAAAGGGAGCGUAGGCGGAUAGUUUAGUCAGAGGUGAAAGCCCAGGGCUCAACCUUGGAAUUGCCUUUGAUACUGGCUAUCUUGAGUAUGGGAGAGGUAUGCGGAACUCCGAGUGUAGAGGUGAAAUUCGUAGAUAUUCGGAAGAACACCAGUGGCGAAGGCGGCAUACUGGCCCAUUACUGACGCUGAGGCUCGAAAGCGUGGGGAGCAAACAGGAUUAGAUACCCUGGUAGUCCACGCCGUAAACGAUGAGUGCUAGUUGUCGGCGAUGCAUGCAUGUCGGGUGGACGCGAGCGUAACGACAUAAGUACGACCUCCGCCGUGGGGUAGGUACGGGUCGGCGAAGUAAGUUAAAACCGUAACGAAAGGAAAGUUAGUUACGGCGUGAGACGUUGCCGACGGACGACGACGAGGGGAGGAGG